GUCCCCACCUGGCAGGGGCGAUAGCAGGAUCAGGAAGGUGGUUUUCCCGGGGGGGGCUCACCCACUGCCCUGCGGGUGCGCUGACCCCGGCGAUUUCCCCAAAGGCGGGAAACUCGACUGCAUCAUUUGUGGUAGUGGUGUGCUGCUUUUGUUUCACCUU
rnacentral:snRNA from 1 species